rnacentral:tRNA from 1 species
GCCGGUAUAGCUCAGUUGGUAGAGCACCUGAUUUGUAAUCAGGGGGUCCCGGGUUCAAGUCCUGGUGCCGGCACCA